UACGUAGGGUGCGAGCGUUAAUCGGAAUUACUGGGCGUAAAGCGUGCGCAGGCGGUUCGUUAAGUCAGCUGUGAAAGCCCCGGGCUUAACCUGGGAAUGGCGGUUGAAACUGGCGAACUUGAAUCUGGCAGAGGGGGGUGGAAUUCCACGUGUAGCAGGUGAAAUGCGUAGAGAUGAUGGAGGAACACCGAUGGCGAAGGCAGCCCCCUGGGCCAAUACUGACGCCUCGAUGCACGAAAGCGUGGGGAGCAAACAGG
rnacentral:rRNA from 1 species